CAAUAAGCAAAAUAAGGGCGUAUGGGGAAUGCCUAGGCUCUCAGAGGCGAAGAAGGACGUGAUAAGCUGCGAAAAGCUACGGGGAUUGGCACACACGAAUUGAUCCGUAGAUAUCCGAAUGGGGCAACCCACUAUGUUGAAGACAUAGUACACCGAUAGGUGGGCAAACCCGCUGAACUGAAACAUCUAAGUAGGCGGAGGAGAAGAAAACAAAAGUGAUUCCGUAAGUAGUGGCGAGCGAACGCGGAUUAGCCCAAACCAGAGUUGUUACGGCAAUUUUGGGGUUGUAGGACCACGAGAUUUUAUGUACAAGGAACCGGAAGUUACUGGAAAGUGACGCCAUAGAGGGUGAUAGCCCCGUAUGGGUAACGAGUAUAAUAGAUAGUGGUAUCCUGAGUAGGGCGGGGCACGUGAAACCCUGUCUGAAUUUGGCGGGACCAUCCGCUAAGGCUAAAUACUCCUGAGAGACCGAUAGUGAACCAGUACCGUGAGGGAAAGGUGAAAAGAACCGUGAAUAACGGAGUGAAAUAGAUCCUGAAACCAUACGCUUACAAGCGGUCGGAGCCCUUUAGUGGGGUGACGGCGUGCCUUUUGCAUAAUGAGCCUACGAGUUAACGUUGCUGGCAAGGAUAAGUGUUUAAGGCAUGGAUCCGUAGCGAAAGCGAGUCUGAAUAGGGCGCUUUAGUCAGUAGUGUUAGACGCGAAACCGUGUGAUCUACCCAUGGGCAGGUUGAAGCUGUGGUAACACACAGUGGAGGACCGAACCGGUUGACGUUGAAAAGUCUUCGGAUGACCUGUGGGUAGGGGUGAAAGGCCAAUCAAACUCGGAAAUAGCUCGUACUCCCCGAAAUGCAUUUAGGUGCAGCGCUGGCUAUAGUUAUAUAGAGGUAGAGCUACUGAUUGGAUGCGGGGGCUUCACCGCCUACCAAUUCCUGACAAACUCCGAAUGCUAUAUAAUGAUUACCAGCAGUGAGGGCUUGGGUGCUAAGGUCCAAGUCCGAGAGGGAAAGAACCCAGACCAUCAGCUAAGGUCCCCAAAUGUAUGCUAAGUUGAAAGAACGCGGUUUGUCUGCAUGGACAGCUAGGAUGUUGGCUUGGAAGCAGCCAUUCAUUUAAAGAGUGCGUAACAGCUCACUAGUCGAGCGGACGAGCAUGGAUAAUAAUCGGGCAUAAGUAUACUACCGAAGCUAUGGAUUUAGAGUUUACUCUAAGUGGUAGGGGAGCAUUCUAACAGGGUUGAAGGUUUUUCGUAAGGAGAGCUGGACUGGUUAGAAAAGAAAAUGUAGGCAUAAGUAACGAUAAUGCGGGCGAGAAACCCGCACACCGAAAAACUAAGGUUUCCACAGCUAUGCUAAUCAGCUGUGGGUUAGUCUGGACCUAAGGCGAACCCGACAGGGGUAGUCGAUGGCCAACGGGUUAAUAUUCCCGUACUACUGAUUACUGUGAUGGGGUGACGGAGUGAUGAAAGCGCC
rnacentral:rRNA from 1 species